GACGAACGCUGGCGGCGUGCUUAACACAUGCAAGUCGAACGGAAAGGCCCCUUUGGGGGUACUCGAGUGGCGAACGGGUGAGUAACACGUGAGUAACCUGCCCUUGACUUCGGGAUAACUUCAGGAAACUGGGGCUAAUACCGGAUAGGAAUCCUUGCUGCAUGGUGGGGGUUGGAAAGCUUCGGCGGUUUUGGAUGGACUCGCGGCUUAUCAGCUUGUUGGUGGGGUAGUGGCUUACCAAGGCUUUGACGGGUAGCCGGCCUGAGAGGGCGACCGGCCACAUUGGGACUGAGAUACGGCCCAGACUCCUACGGGAGGCAGCAGGGGGGAAUAUUGCACAAGGGGCGGAAGCCUGAUGCAGCAACGCCGCGUGCGGGAGGACGGCCUUCGGGUUGUAAACCGCUUUCAGCAGGGGCGAAGCUUGUGGUGACGGUACCUGCAGAAGAAGCACCGGCUAACUACGUG
rnacentral:rRNA from 1 species